AGCGAACGCUGGCGGCAGGCCUAACACAUGCAAGUCGAACGAACUCUUCGGAGUUAGUGGCGGACGGGGGAGUAACACGUGGGAACGUGCCCUUAGGUACGGAAUAACUCAGGGAAACUUGUGCUAAUACCGAAUGUGCCCUUCGGGGGAAAGAUUUAUCGCCUUUAGAGCGGCCCGCGUCUGAUUAGCUAGUUGGUGAGGUAAAGGCUCACCAAGGCGACGAUCAGUAGCUGGUGUGGGAGGAUGAUCCGCCACAUUGGGGCUGCGACACGGCCCAAACUCCUACGGGAGGCAGCAGUGGGGAGUCUUGCGCGAUGGGCGAAAGCCUGACGCAGCCGUGCCGCGUGAAUGAUGAAGGUCUUAGGAUUGUAAAAUUCUUUCACCGGGGACGAUAAUGACGGUACCCGGAGAAGAAGCCCCGGCUAACUUCGUG
rnacentral:rRNA from 1 species